rnacentral:rRNA from 1 species
GACGAACGCUGGCGGCGUGCUUAACACAUGCAGGUCGAACGGAAAGGCCCUGCUUUUGUGGGGUGCUCGAGUGGUGAACGGGUGAGUAACACGUGAGUAACCUGCCCUUGACUUUGGGAUAACUUCAGGAAACUGGGGCUAAUACCGGAUAGGAGCUCCUGCUGCAUGGUGGGGGUUGGAAAGUUUCGGCGGUUGGGGAUGGACUCGCGGCUUAUCAGCUUGUUGGUGGGGUAGUGGCUUACCAAGGCUUUGACGGGUAGCCGGCCUGAGAGGGUGACCGGCCACAUUGGGACUGAGAUACGGCCCAGACUCCUACGGGAGGCAGCAGUGGGGAAUAUUGCACAAUGGGCGGAAGCCUGAUGCAGCAACGCCGCGUGCGGGAUGACGGCCUUCGGGUUGUAAACCGCUUUCGCCUGUGACGAAGCGUAAGUGACGGUAAUGGGUAAAGAAGCACCGGCUAACUACGUG